ensembl:lncRNA novel transcript, antisense to NKD1
ACUAUUAAAGCCUCUCCGGUAUCUGACACAAGUCAGAAUUUCCACUGUUCCAGCUGAGCUUUUAUGAGGAGCAGACUUGAGAGAAACUGCCAAGAUUUUCUGGAGUACACAGGGCACACGGCCAGCUGAACACCCGCUUCCCCCACUCGCUGCUGCUGGGAAGAGAGCAAUGGACUCCGAAUACCUUCCAGCCGAAAGUCGUCCUCCUCUUCCUCGCUGAGCGUGUCUCUCAACACGUCGCCCACGAGCUCCUACAAGAAGACAGAGCAGAGGCAUUGAGCAGGGGUUGGGGGAGCCCAGUGCUGGGACGUUAAAAGCAGUGCCAUGAGGACCCUGGGCUGAUUCUUCUGAUUGGAAUUCAGGUCAACUGAGGCAGAUCCUAUUGCACCUGAAAAGUUAAGUGCCAAGGUGGGUCCCUCCUGCCCUUAACAUAAACCCACACGCAUCAGCACAACAUUCAGGCCACCACAGGCUAUGGCUCCACUGGGUCUUCCAUCAUGCCUCCCACAUUUCACCAACACACAUGCCUUCCGGAAACCAGCCUGAUUCCUUGCACACACCCUGCCUGUUCCCCACCAGUGAGUUAAGGAUAUCUGGGAUCUCAUCCCAACCAACCUGACCAGGAGAUGUCAAGUUAGCGAGGGGAGUGUUGCUGGUCCACAGGCUGGGAAAUUUCUAGGAUGUCAACAAAGGCCCCAUCUGUCUGACCCACCCUAGCAGGAUAACUCCAAAUAUGGAAGAAGCUAGACCAUACCUUGUCAAACUGUCUUCUGUAUUUAUUGGUAUUCUGCCAGAAGAGUUCUAUGAUCAAAGAAGAUUCUUUUAAACAAAGUUAAACAAGAUCUCUUACAGCAGGACUUAUCAGGACUUUUCCUAUGGUUCUAAACACUGAAUCUCCAAGUGCUGGCAUAUUUUGCAUUCUCCAAACUUAUUUAGACCAUGGAGCUUCGUUUUUCAAAAGUAUCACAUGAUACGCGUGUCCCAAGAAACCCACUUUAGGAAAUACUCCUGUUAUGGGAGGACAGACAAGGGUUUGGGGGAUGAUGAUGCUAUGGUAGCGGUUCUCAAAACACAAAAUGACAAGCAAUAAAAAAGCCCAAACUCAGCAGCUGUCACCAACUUCUCUUUGUGAAAAUAAAAGAGAAAAAAAACAAAAACAAAAACAAAACCCAACCCUCUCCUUAGGGGAAAAAAAAUUCUACACCUCAGAUGAUGCUUAAAAAAAAACCAGUCCUCUUCUUGAUGAACAAAAGAAAAAACACGGCUUUGUAUUGCUGAUCUCAUCAACUGGACACAGCUGGAGGUAAGCCUCUUGCUUUUUUUUGUUUUUUGUUUUAAAGACAAACAGCUAACAUUUUGUGGCUGUUCUCUUUCUUCUUUCAAAUCUUUCUAGGGCAUUACACACUCUUUCUUAAAAGCUGUUAAAAUGUGGCCAUUCAGACUCCGGUGUCCCAUUUACUUCAAAACCAGGCUACUUUAUUCCUCGAGUCAGGAUGGCUUCCUCUCCUCCUCCACCAAUUAUUAUAAUCAUCGAACAUAUCCUGGGCUUGUAAACUGGCUGUUUGUGUUAACAGAGCCCGAGUUGACAGGGGAGCUGGGAGACGAUGACAGGAAAGGGAUGCACACAGGUGGCAUCAUUAGAUGGCUGGGACGCCCCAGCAGCCAAUUGAAGCCCAUCUUUCAUGCAGAAGAGAGACGGGUGCCACCGCCCCCUGAAAGGCUGGUAGGCAGAGCUUCCCCGAGGGAACAGGCAACAGUCUUCAAGAGAAUCUGCGCACCUCUUCAUGCUGAGGUCUUCUGCAGAGCGGGGCUCUGCGCCUGCCACCCUGACUGCACUGCAGCCGGGUGACAGCAUCAAUGAGACGUCUGAGUACUCGUGUCUUUUUACUGGCACACUUGGAAGAGUUUAAAGACUCCAGACAUCGCCACCAACAAGGCAGCCGUGUGGGACCCUAUGACAAUGACCGCAUGUGCUCAAGGCACCCCAGUCACCACCUAAUGACAGCUUCAGCACUCCCUGCUCGGAGAACCAAGCUCUCUGACACACUCAGAAAGCAGAGUUCUGGCAAGUUCUGGCAUAGGCCUCUCACCACUCAACAGUACCCUGCUCUGGAGAACACUGGAAAGCUCCCCGGAGCCAUGGUUCAUGGACGCACUGUACUGUGCCAAUGCUCAACUUUGCAAAAAUUCAUCUCCCCAGCCAGGCGCAGUGGCUCACGCCUGUAAUCCUAGCACUUCGGGAGGCCGAGGCAGGUGGAUCACGAGGUCAGGCAACCUGGCCAACAUAAUGAAACCCCAUCUCUGCUAAAAAUACAAAAAAUUAGCCAGGCGUAGUGGCAGGUGACUGUAAUCCCAACUACUUGGGGGGCUGAGGCAGAAGAAUCGCUUGAAACUGGGAGGUGGAGGCUGUGGUGAGCUGAGAUUGCGCCACUGCACUCCAGCCCAGGUGACAGUGUGAGACUCUGUCUC